AUUGAACGCUGGCGGCAUGCUUUACACAUGCAAGUCGGACGGCAGCACAGAGAAGCUUGCUUCUUGGGUGGCGAGUGGCGAACGGGUGAGUAAUAUAUCGGAACGUACCGAGUAGUGGGGGAUAACUAAUCGAAAGAUUAGCUAAUACCGCAUAUUCUCUGAGGAGGAAAGCAGGGGACCUUCGGGCCUUGCGUUAUUCGAGCGGCCGAUAUCUGAUUAGCUAGUUGGUGGGGUAAAGGCCUACCAAGGCGACGAUCAGUAGCGGGUCUGAGAGGAUGAUCCGCCACACUGGGACUGAGACACGGCCCAGACUCCUACGGGAGGCAGCAGUGGGGAAUUUUGGACAAUGGGCGCAAGCCUGAUCCAGCCAUGCCGCGUGUCUGAAGAAGGCCUUCGGGUUGUAAAGGACUUUUGUCAGGGAAGAAAAGGCUGUUGCUAAUACCGACAGCUGAUGACGGUACCUGAAGAAUAAGCACCGGCUAACUACGUG
rnacentral:rRNA from 1 species